CCACUUGAUGAUGAUGAUCUUGCCCUAAAUAUUCUUGUUGGUCUUCCUUUAGAUUACAGUCCUUUUAAAGCAUCAAUGUCUUCAAGA
rfam:Macleaya cordata isolate BLH2017 scaffold8405, whole genome shotgun sequence.